GAUGAACGCUAGCUACAGGCUUAACACAUGCAAGUCGAGGGGUAACAAGAGAAAAGCUUGCUUUUCUUGUUGACGACCGGCGCACGGGUGAGUAACGCGUAUCCAACCUGCCUAUAACUAGGGAAUAACCCUGCGAAAGUAAGACUAAUGCCCUAUGACUUCCUUUGGCGGCAUCAAACAAGGAAUAAAGAUUUAUCGGUUAUAGAUGGGGAUGCGUCUGAUUAGCUUGUUGGCGGGGUAACGGCCCACCAAGGCAACGAUCAGUAGGGGUUCUGAGAGGAAGGUCCCCCACAUUGGAACUGAGACACGGUCCAAACUCCUACGGGAGGCAGCAGUGAGGAAUAUUGGUCAAUGGGCGGAAGCCUGAACCAGCCAAGUAGCGUGCAGGAUGACGGCCCUAUGGGUUGUAAACUGCUUUUAUACAGGGAUAAAGUUAGCCACGUGUGGUUAUUUGCAGGUACUGUAUGAAUAAGGACCGGCUAAUUCCGUGCCAGCAGCCGCGGUAA
rnacentral:rRNA from 1 species